GAAACGAGGGUCGAGCACCGGCCGCUGGCAA
rnacentral:sRNA from 1 species